rnacentral:rRNA from 1 species
UACGUAGGGGGCAAGCGUUAUCCGGAUUCACUGGGUGUAAAGGGAGCGUAGACGGCGACGCAAGUCUGGAGUGAAAGCCCGGGGCCCAACCCCGGGACUGCUCUGGAAACUGCGGCGCUGGAGUACGGGAGGGGCAGGCGGAAUUCCUGGUGUAGCGGUGAAAUGCGUAGAUAUCAGGAGGAACACCGGUGGCGAAGGCGGCUUACUGGACUGUAACUGACGUUGAGGCUCGAAGGCGUGGGGAGCAAACAGG